rnacentral:misc_RNA from 1 species
CAUCAACCUAAAUGACAACAC